AGUGAUGAAUUGUGUAACCUCGAC
rnacentral:siRNA from 1 species